UGUUUUUGUAGUAUGUCAAUUCAAAACUAACUAGUAUUUUGCUACUAAGUAAAGGGAAUAUUUGCACUGACAGAGACACAAUACACAAUACACAAUGCACAUAUAUAUCCAAAUCAGUUAGAUAUAUCUAUGUUUAUGAGUUACAAAAUAUAAAUCUGAUUAACUUGUUUCUAAAUUAUUGUUAACAAGUAUAGACUUUUCUGACCUGUCCUUCUCUUGUGGUUUUUCUGCUGAUAUAUAAUUCAGAUUUAGCUUUUAUCUCAGUUAAAGUAAGUAAUCAAACAAGUUCUCCUGGUUCUAUUCACAUUGAUAAUUUGGAUAGGUGAAGCUUUCAUGGCCCAAGACAUUGGUCAAUAAGUGGUUGAAUAUCAAGUGCAAAACUGAUAACUUUCAAGCAAAUGAUGAUGUUGAUGAUGAUGUCCCUUAUCAAGGGCAGUAACUGCUUGGAAAUUAGUUCUUGCUGGGAAUGAACAAGGGAAUGAACACUGAUACAAUUGUUAAGGCCAAGAGUUUUCUUGAUGGUGAUGAAGAUCAGCAUGAAAAAGAUGUGUUUGAGAAGAAUU